UAGAGAUUUAUUUUUCCAAGGUUAAGGAUCAUGACCCAGGACACAGCCUCAGGAGGUCCUGAGAAUACAAGCCCAAGGUAGUUGGGUUAAAGGCUCUUGUUUUUAUAUGUUUUAGGGAGACAUAAGACAUCAACCGACACAUGUGAAGUAUACAUUGAUUUGGCCUGGAAAGGCAGAAGCUUACAGGUCACAGGUGGAUUCAAAGAUUUUCUGAUCGGCAAUUGGCUGAAAGAGUUAUUAUCUAAAAGGCUGAAAUUAAUUGAAAGGAGAGUCUGGGUUAAGAUAAGGGGUUGUAGAGACCUAGGUUCUUAGGUAGAUGAAGUCUCAUAGGUGGCUGCCCUUAGAGGCAACAGAUAGCAAAUAUUUCCUAUUCAGACCUUUAAUAAAAGGUACUAGACUCUUAGCUAAUCUCUUCAGGAUCAGAAAAACACCGGGGAAGGGAAAGGGAUCCUCUACAGAAUGUAAAUCCCCUCCCCCCGCACAAGAUACAGCUUUGCAGGGCCAUUUCAAAAUAUGUAAAAGGAAUGUAUUUUGGGAUUAAAAAAGCUUUGAUUUCCUUCAGGGCUUGCUAUCUGUUGUGUGAUGCUAUACUAGAGUCAGGUUGGAAUUUGGUAUUUUAUUGUGACAGUCUAUUUUGUCAGUCUUAAGAUCUGUUUUAAUGUUAAUGCUGGUCUGUUGUGUCUAAACUCCAAAAGGGAGAGGGUAUAAAGAGGCAUGUCUACCUCCUUGCCCGAGCAUCAUGGCUGGAACUCGUUUUUCAGGUUUCUCUGGAACCCCCUUGGCUGAGAGGGGGUCCAUUCAGUCAUCUGGGGGGCUUGGAAUUUUAUUUUUGUUUACAGAACCCAGUAUUCUCCCCGUUCACAGUUAAGACCUGAGGAAUGAAGGGCAUCCAGAUACUGACGCUGUGAACACAGCUUCUACUCAACCCCUAAUCCCAGUUGUCUCCCUCCUGACUGAAUCUCAGGGACACGGCAAUGUGUAAUGGUAGCUGUUGAGAGGCCUAGGACCAAGGAAAGGCUUGAGGGCCCUUGGCUAGAUCAGCAUGCUCUUGAGACUGAGGAGAACCGAAAGCUCAAGGGAAUAUGUCACUAUCUAUCUCACCUUGAGCCUCAGUGGCUAUUUGGGAUCCUCUUGCUUGGCUCAGAGGACUCUGGAUGUCAAAGGACUUAAAGGCUCUGCCCUAGAUGAAAACUUGCAUUCUCUGUUGGCUACAUGAGGUAAACUCAUGGGCUUAACCAAGGAAGUACUGUCUAGAACUGAAAUCACUGAUCAUUUGUACUGUUUAACAAUUCCGUUUGGGAGGCCGAGGAGGGUGGAUCACGAGGUCAGGAGAUUGAGACCAUCCUGGCGAACACGGUGAAACCCCAUCUCUACUAAAAAUACAAAAAAUUAGCUGGGCGUGGUGGUGGGCCCCUGUAGUCCCAGCUACUUGGGAGGCUGAGGCAGGAGAAUGGUGUGAACCCGGGAGGUGGAGCUUGCAGUGAGCCGAGAUUGCGCCACUGCACUCCAGAACUCCAGAGCCUGGGCAACAGAGUGAGACUCUGUCUCAAAAAAAAAAAAAAAAAAAAAGUUCCCUGAAGCAGAAAAAUCUGCUGCUCAAACAGACUUCAAUGUCUCAUGCCUAAAAUUUUCACAAAUUACCAUAUACUCUGGGUGGUGGAAUGGACCCAGAAUAGGUAAGGGACUUAAGCAAUUUCAAACAGCUUAUUAGAGACAGUGGUAGGAGUGGCAGCACAUAUGAGAAUCUUGGCCUCAAGUCUCUUACCUAAACUCUGCAGAAGUGUGUCUGGAACCCAGAAGCUCAUGCUAACAUGUCCAGUAUCCCUAGUUACUUCUUGAGCAAAGGGCAGUGAUGACAUUAGGAGAAUGAAGGAACAAAGUGGGUCAUGCUUUGUUUUAUUCUUGAACCUUUAGUCCCAUGUAUGAAUCCUGAGUGUUACCCUCCUGAAUGCUGUGCACUACAGAAUGAACUUUAGUUCACAGUAAAUGAGGGAUGCUUUUUCUUAAGAAAUAAAUUUAAUUCAAGGUGGUUAGUGAAUGUGAGGCAAUGUAAUGCCUUCACGAAAGUUAAAGUAAUCCAGUUACAAAAGAAGCACUGUGUAUAGUCUCAAAUAGCUGAAGGUACAAUGGGCUCCAUAUUUUACAAAGUACAAAAAAUUAUUUCAUAUACAAAGAAAAAUACAAAUAAUGUGCAAAAACCAUUUUCACAGGUGGCAAUUUAUAAAAUGGAAAUGAUAGAAAAGUCCUUCAUUCUUAAUUAUCCCCAGAUUUCUUAUAUAUUAACACAGUUCUAUUUCCUAGUGUGUGGACAAUUUUAAAUUUGAAAUUCUGAUUUAUUUUUAAUCUACAAAGUAUUUUUAUUUUUUAAAAGGGAACCAUUUCAUUAUUGAAAUCUUAUGAAUGCAUCAGUUAAUUUAUAUUAAAUUAUAAGCAGGCUAUCUGAAAAACAAGGAUAUAGAAAUCAUAUAUACACAUUUUUGAAAUAUUAGUUUAGUAUUUAACAUAUUAACAUUUCAAAACAAAUGCAAUGAUCUAGCUACCUAUGACGCCAGCUGGUGUCAGUGGUUGUAGCGAAGAUGCUGUUUCUGUUUACCAUGAGCAAACAGCAUUUCUUGGGUCUUAAGCUAAACAAUCACAAGUUAUCAAAGUAAAGAAAAUCUAAAGACAGUUCUUACUUUUCAUGUGUAGAAGUGUAGUUUGGGUAUCCAGUCAUGCCACAGUGUGACUGUGGUCAACACAGCCCUUGUCACAGGUGCGUAUGGUCCUAAAUAGCUGGCCUCUGUCUUUCCAACAUCUUCACUUCAUUGGGAAUUCAGUGCAAGUGUUUGUUUUGUGAGUUAGUGCAUUCAGCUUUUUUUGCAUGUUAUUUUGAAAAAGAAGCUGUCAGGAAGCAGAAGAUACAUAAGAACACAAGGCCCUGGAUCCUCAGAGCACCUCUGGUCUAGAGAAUUCAGUGUUUUGGAAGUAGUGUUUUCCUGCAUUGGGCUGGUCAUUGUUGUACCAUUCCCUGGAUAAUCUUUUUCCAUCAGAAUAAUGCUGUGUGCUCCCUCUUUGCCUGCUACUGAACAAUGACGUCUCUUGUUGUGAACCCCACUGGCAGAGCACGGACCAUGGAAGCAUCUUUUGGCAGCACCAGAGAACUGAGCAUCUCAAAGGUCAGGCAUUACAAGUAGAUGUCUCUCAUAGGAAACCUAGUCCAGGUAGAAUAUGAGACAAUCUUGGAGGGUUUUGAUUUUUGCUUGUUAAACAGGUCUCCGAGGAAAUUAUGACCUCAGAGAACAAAAAAGGAUCUAUAGCUUUCAUGAAGAAGGACCCAAGUAGGUGGUAGCCAUUUUGCCUGGGUGAGGUUCACAGUUGGCUCAGGAGACAUCUUCUGAUCAUUAACCACUAAGACCCUGUUAGAAAAAUUUAGUGCAAGAUACAGGGAGUGCAUGGGGCUGUUGACCAGACCUGUGUGAAACACCUAUUCAGGUUAAGUAGAUAUAGCAACCCCUGCAAGAGGGGACUGGGCAGGAGAACCUCAGGCCCUGGGAUAACUUGUUGUCAGCUCCUCAAGGAUCCAUGCUUCUUUUUCUAUCUAUCUGGCAGCAUGAGUUCUUCUGUUUCUUCUGCGUGGGUUGACCAUGGGCAUCAGGCAUCAGAGAUACAACUCUGGAUCUUGUCCAUCCAUUGCUGGGCACUCUGUCCAUCCUGGGCGCAGAAGUUAUACACACGUUUGCUGGUCUUGAGCUACAAAACCAAAUGACAGUGAACCAGAGAUGAAGGGCAGGGCUGUUUUAUGGAUUUGGGCAUGGUAUGAGCAGGGCUAAGUGGAAAAAACUGUAUCUAUCUUUCAUGUUAAAGAAGUCCAGAAGACUGGUUAAAAAGUAUACAGACUUAAAAGACUAAACUGCAUGAAGCAUUUUAGUUUUGUUUUUCCGUUAUGGAGUGAAACUUGCCAACUUCACUUAUUUAUAAGAAGAGAAUCUGAAAUGGAAUUUGGAGAAACAUGAAUUUAUAG
rnacentral:lncRNA from 1 species